ACGUAGGGGGCUAGCGUUAUCCGGAUUUACUGGGCGUAAAGGGUGCGUAGGCGGUCUUUCAAGUCAGGAGUUAAAGGCUACGGCUCAACCGUAGUAAGCUCCUGAUACUGUCUGACUUGAGUGCAGGAGAGGAAAGCGGAAUUCCCAGUGUAGCGGUGAAAUGCGUAGAUAUUGGGAGGAACACCAGUAGCGAAGGCGGCUUUCUGGACUGUAACUGACGCUGAGGCACGAAAGCGUGGGGAGCAAACAGGAUUAGAUACCCUGGUAGUCCACGCUGUAAACGAUGAGUACUAGGUGUCGGAGGUUACCCCCUUCGGUGCCGCAGCUAACGCAUUAAGUACUCCGCCUGGGGAGUACGCACGCAAGUGUG
rnacentral:rRNA from 1 species